GUCUGCUGACAGCAGGCUUCUCUUGAGUGGUAGCAAGGACUCUACCUUGAAGGUUUGGGAUGUGAGGACACAGAAAUUGAAGCAAGACCUUCCUGGUCAUGAAGAUGAGGUUUUUGCUGUGGAUUGGAGUUCAGAUGGUGAGAAAGUUGCAUC